AGGGUGCAAGCGUUAUCCGGAUUUAUUGGGUUUAAAGGGUCCGUAGGCGGGUUAUUAAGUCAGUGGUGAAAUCUCAUAGCUCAACUAUGAAACUGCCAUUGAUACUGAUAGUCUUGAGUAUAUUUGAAGUAGCUGGAAUAAGUAGUGUAGCGGUGAAAUGCAUAGAUAUUACUUAGAACACCAAUAGCGAAGGCAGGUUACUAAGAUAUUACUGACGCUGAGGGACGAGAGCGUAGGGAGCGAACAGGAUUAGAUACCCUGGUAGUCCACGCUGUAAACGAUGCUAACUCGUUUUUGGUUUUAGGAAUCAGAGACUAAGCGAAAGUGAUAAGUUAGCCACCUGGGGAGUACGCUCGCAAGAGUGAAACUCAAAGGAAUUGACGGGGGCCCGCACAAGCGGUGGAUUAUGUGGUUUAAUUCGAUGAUACGCGAGGAACCUUACCAAGACUUAAAUGGGAAUUGACAGCUGUAGAAAUACGGUUUUCUUCGGACAAUUUUCAAGGUGCUGCAUGGUUGUCGUCAGCUCGUGCCGUGAGGUGUUAGGUUAAGUCCUGCAACGAGCGCAACCCCUGUCACUAGUUGCCAUCAUUCAGUUGGGGACUCUAGUGAGACUGCCUGCGCAAGCAGUGAGGAAGGUGGGGAUGACGUCAAAUCAUCACGGCCCUUACGUCUUGGGCCACACACGUAAUACAAUGGCCAGUACAGAGGGCAGCUACUAUGUGAAUAGAUGCGAAUCUCGAAAGCUGGUCUCAGUUCGGAUUGGAGUCUGCAACUCGACUCUAUGAAGCUGGAAUCGCUAGUAAUCGCGCAUCAGCCAUGGCGCGGUGAAUACGUUCCCGGGCCUUGUACACACCGCCCGUCAAGCCAUGGAAGUUCGGGGUACCUGAAGUCGGUGACCGUUAAAGGAGCUGCCUAGGGUAAAACGAGUAACUAGGGCUAAGUCGUAACAAGGUAGCCGUACCGGAAGGUGCGGCUG
rnacentral:rRNA from 1 species